rnacentral:rRNA from 1 species
AGAUUCGGCCCUCGGGCCAAACCUCUCCAGCUGUGCGCCUCGGCUGCACGCUGGUUGAACCUCACACACCUGUGAACAUUCCGGUUGUGAGUCGUCUUAUGGCGUCUCACUUCCGCCUUUACAUCAAACUACCAAGUCUAGAAUGUAAAAACUAUAAAGUAACAACUUUCAACAACGGAUCUCUUGGCUCUCGCAUCGAUGAAGAACGCAGCGAAAUGCGAUAAGUAAUGUGAAUUGCAGAAUUCAGUGAAUCAUCGAAUCUUUGAACGCAUCUUGCGCUCCUUGGUAUUCCAUGGAGCAUGCCUGUUUGAGUGUCACGUAAACCCUCACACCAGUGAUGUUAAAAUCUCUGGAAGUGGAUUUGGAUUGUGCCGUAGUUGGCUCAUCCUGAAAUACAUUAGCCUGCGCUUUGUUAGCGUGCUCGGCAUGGUGUGAUAAUUAUCUGCGCCGUCGCCUUAUGCCGCUUCUUUAAUGUGCUGCUUCUAAUCGUCCCUUGUGGACAGACACUAUAAAGCUUUGGCCUCAAAUCAGGUAGGACUACCCGCUGAACUUAAGCAUAUCAAUAAGCGGAGG